GGGUGUAGCUCAAGUGGUAGAGUACAUGCCUAGCAUGCCUGAGGUCCUGGGUUCAAUCUCCAGUACCUCCA
rnacentral:tRNA from 1 species